UUAAUUAUUUUGUUUCUUCUCUUGUAAAAAGGCACAAAGGUAUAUGAGGAGAGGCGGGUAGACAGUGAUAAGGUGGUUACCACAAAAGUUCCGGUGAUUGGUGCGCCUGAUACCGAUGUUCAUAUGGGCACACAGAUAAGUAGCACCAAUGAUUUGGCGGAGAAUGCGCCUAUUCACAAGCUGUUUGAGGUAGAAAGAGAAUCUGAAGGUGUAUCUGGGCAAAACCUGACGACACAUAUGAAUGUUUCCGAAGGGAAACAAACUGAUGUACAAGAAAAAGAACGGUUGGACGAGACGUUAAAUGCUGAGAGAAAACAUGAUGAAACCAUGGCUUUAAAAAAUGAUAAUGGGAACGAUGAGUGGGGAAACAUACCUUGGAGGGGUAUGAUUACGAUGGGCCUAGUUGGAGUGUUGGGUUGACCCAACUAGAAGAGAAUGGGAGUGAAAACAAGACAGUUAUUGAUGAGGAAGCUCGAACACCGGAUGUCUGCAUGAGGAGUGAAAGCACGUCUGGAAUCAUAAAUGAAGAAGGGGGCAUUGUAAUUCGGCUGAGCCAUUGAUGGUGGAGCCCGUCACUGUCUUUGACGGGUCGAACUACGCAGAGAACAUGGGUUUUUUAUGCAGAAGAGAUAGCGAGAGCGAACAAUGAAAGGAUGUUAGCGGAGAUGAAGGCGGGAAAAAGAAAACUCCCGGAUAGAGAGAAAAGGGAUAACAUAUGUUAACAAAUCUCCUUACUUCAGAUGGGGAGUGGACAUUAAUGAAGAUACAGGUAUGGAUGAGAGACGUAUCUGGGAUUACAUCCGCAACGAUGAAGGAUUAUUACAUAGCCUACAUGGGGAUUCAAGUAGAAAAGAAUCGAUGAAAAUAAAUCUGAGAGAGCGAGGACAAGCAUGGGCGGAGAGCUUUACCAAUGAAGAGUAUAGAGCAAACCCAAGAGUAGAGGAGCUACUCUACAGGAGCAGUGCGAAUGGUCAGGCAACCCGAAGAAUGUUUAAGGCAUUGAGCGUAGGGGCCCUCGUGAUUGAUCGAAUUAUUGACUGCUGGGCUGAGGUGCUAAACUACGAAGAACAAUUCAAAGCACCAGGGCCGAACAACCGUUUGUUUAUGGGGACAAGAGUAGUUUUUGAGUGGAUGCUGGUUGGUUAGGAUAUGCAACAUGAGAAACAUAAGGACAGGUUUAGAAAGAAUAUGCAAGCCGGAAUGUAUGGCAACAAAAAGUUGUUUGACCUGAGAAGUUUUGACAUGGUGUUGUUUCCGAUAUUAGAGGCGGAGCACUUCUAUCUACAAGUGUUUGAGAUGAAAAAUCCCGCACUUACGUUGAUCGACAAUAGCGUAGAAAACUUCACAUGUCGGGUCUUGGAUAGUGAUGUUUACAUCAACAAGUCAGUACCGUACAAAUAUAUAAGUAAACUAUAAAAUGCCUAUAUUCAUCAAAUUGUGCGUAAGGUGGUAUACCAUCUCACUGUGAUCUUUGUUCUAUGUUACCAGAAGGAGAUGUUUGUACGCUACUUGGAGGAGGUAAACCAUCUGAGGGGUUCUGAUG